UACGGGGGGGGCAAGCGUUGUUCGGAAUUACUGGGCGUAAAGGGCUCGUAGGCGGCCAACUAAGUCACACGUGAAAUCCCUCGGCUCAACCGGGGAACUGCGUGUGAGACUGGAUGGCUUGAGUUUGGGAGAGGAAUGCGGAAUUCCAGGUGUAGCGGUGAAAUGCGCAGAUAUCAGGAGGAACACCAAUGGCGAAGGCAGCUCGCUGGAACGGUACUGACGCUGAGACGCGAAAGCGUGGGGAGCGAACAGG
rnacentral:rRNA from 1 species